rnacentral:tmRNA from 1 species
GGGGGUGAAAUUGGCUUCGACGGGGUUAGUUAGGCUUUGAACUGCACAUCGUGUUCACCGUAGACACGUAAAACGGCGGUAAUAAAACAAUAACUGGCGAAAAUAACUACGCCUUAGCUGCUUAAUUAUAAAAGUAGCCGUUCGCUCUGACUUCGCGCACCGGGUCUGAGAUGAACGCCGAUCAGGUGUGAUAGCGGGAUGAGCGUCCGGGUAAAUCCUGCAAAUCUUAACCGGGCAAGCUUAAAGUCAACCCUGCCUGCCGGGAUGCUUUAAGCCUAAAAAAUCGACAGGCUAUGUGUGUAGACGUUCUUAGUAUUUCAACUUCGGACGCGGGUUCGACUCCCGCCACCUCCACUA